UUUUCACGCAGGCCUUGGAGACCUUCCUCGACAACCUGAUUCGUGCUGCCCCUGCCACACCUGCCACCUGUGUUCUGUCCUAGAGAACUUCUGUUCUGAACACAGGUCUCAUGUCUGUGACGUCUGCACCCUUCCGUCGAGCCCUUUGUCUCACUACGACACUUCUGCUGCUAGGCCCUCCCCGCAGAAACUUCUCAGACCGUCUGCAGCCAUCUGCAGCCUUCUUGGCUCUGUGGACCGUGAGUCUCUCCGGAGCAGGGACUAUGCAGACAGCGACUCGGUCCCUGGAGCAUGGGAAGCAACCAGGCCGUGGAGUGUGAAGGUGGAGGCAGGGCCCUCCUUCUGAGCCGGACAGCCAUCCGACACUCCUCAGAGCGUGGAGAACCUCAAGAAUGAAGAAGGCCCGGAUCUCCUGCCUCUCUGGCUUAGGAAGAUCAGAGGAGAAAUAAAAUCGGGAAAACCUAGGAGAGGCGGCCAUGGAGACUUGGACCUCAAGGCCUGGGGAGAGAGCUGUCCGCUCUCAAGCCUCAGCCCUUUCUCAGGAUGGGAAGGACAAGACCGAGUUUCAGAAAACCUUGGGCCACGGUCCACAAUUGAGGAUGACACGGCAUGAUUUGAAGGGGCCUCAUUUGGUUGUGGACACGGUUGCAAAAACAGCCAUUGGUUGCUUCUGUUCAGCGUGGACUUGGAAGCCCGUAAAAGGCGUGUGUGGAGGGGAUGGGGGGCUAGAGCAGCAAAGAACAGGAUUUGCCCAGCUGCUGAUGGAGGGGCGAGGGGCUGGUUGGUGAAGAAUAGUCAUUCUGGCAGAGAAGGUGGUUUUGGGGUGUGUGCAGACACGCGCACUCUAACAGCAUAUACUGUUGGAACCGUUGUUGUGGAGGACAAGCUGGCGUUCUACAGUUGGAGUCAAACUGUAAGAUGAACGACCGUAUGAUUGAAGCAAUACAGCCCUAUGGAAUUGCCCUCAGAAGUGCUUACAUUGAGCAGAGUAGUUAGGGCUCCUUGCUUUGCUCUUUGGAUAAACAUGGAAGGUCCGUUGGUUACAAUCGACAUAUUGGCAUCAGACAUGAAUAAAACUUGAUUUGACCUGCUGGACGGAGCA
rnacentral:lncRNA from 1 species